UCUACUUUCCCUGUAGUUUCCUGCCAUUGUCUGACUGCCAGUCUAGGCUUUUCUCCUUCCUGCCACCAAGAAGGAAGAGAAAUCUGAAAGGAGUUGGGGGACUCCUGUCUAAUUAGGGUGCGCCGGGGAAGUUACUUGGCCUCUCUGAGCCCCAAUUUUUCCUUUUUGCCGGGGAUAUCAUCACUGGUUCUGUCUACUCUUAGCACUGUGAGAUUCUGGAGGGGAGAGAGGCAUGUCACCUGAAAAGAGGGGUGAUCACAACUGCUCCACCACCUGGACCCUCCCCUGCCAUGUUCCCCCCGGGUGCCCACUGUUGUUUCAGGUUCAGUUGCCCAGGCAGAGUCCAGUCUCUCCAGGAGACACUCCGGCCAUGGAUCCACCUUACCCUUGACCCCAAGCCAGGACACCUCAGCUGCAAUGAGGAAUUGGAAGCUCAGAGAGAGUAAGGGAUUUAUUUGCCCACGAGCUCCUGAGAAGCAGGAGCAACACCUCCUACCUGCCCCUGCCCCCAGCCUUCAUGCCCACCGCCACCAGGACAAGGCCACUGCAAGUCACCGCCCUGGUGGAAGAACCAGUCUGCGUUCCAAAGACCCAGGCGCCCAUCUGCCUCUGCCACAUCCCGUGACCUUGAGCAAGUUACUUUCCUAUUCUGUAGAACCGAGGUAACAGUCCAGCCAGUCGGGUUAGGGGGCAGCUGUUUUCAUCUUGCUGUUCUGUCAUCUUGUCCUCAUCUGCAGAGGUGAAGCUGCGUCACUGGCAGUCUGCUAGCGAAGAGGCACUCAGAGCAGCUGUCCUGAAGCACGUUCCUUUCAAGCUAAUAAGGUACGUGUUACACUCCUCACUUCUGCUCAGCAUUGGUGGACAAGAACUUAUUCAAGUGGCCAUGCCUCACUGGGAAAAUCAUCUUAGCUGAGCAGCUUGUGACAAGAAGUGUCAAUUUCAGAGAAAUGACUAGCAGUCUGCCACAUUUUUAAUGAGGAAGCUGCUCUCUUGAAUCAUUAUGUUUUCAAAAGGCUACCUGGAAAUAGCAAAGUCCUUUUUUUUCACAGUGUCAAGACGCCAGGUGACCCGAAUUCUACACUUUCCUGGUAAUUCCUAUUUUGAAAUGAAGGCUGUUAACAAUCACCCUGUGCUUUCCUUAAAUAUAUAAAUAUGUUAUUAAUAUAGAAAUAUUAAAAUAUAUUUAGAUUAGAAAUAUACAAUUGACCAGAUGCCAAGGGUUUGUACACUUUGCUGGGAAAAAGUCAAUUGUCUUUGAGAAAUUUCUUUAUAUGAUUUUAGAGGGGGCAGCCUCUAAAAUGAAGUGUUCAAUGAAUGAAUAAAUGAAUGAAUGAAUUUUAGCAGCCUGCAUCUUAGGUGCUGAGAGUUAUCUGAUUAGGGCAUACCGGACUAAAACGUCCCAUACAAACAUUAGGGUUUAUUAAUCUAUAAUAUGCACAGAUAAGCAAUUUUAUAUCAAGCAUAUGAAUAGAAUUUAGAGAAACAAUUUUAUUUGGGAAUAGAACCCUGAAAAAUCAUCAGAGGCUUACUAUUUUUUCACAUGUACUUUCCCUCUCACAUCAGCAUGUCCCCUUGCCCCCUUCCCUGUGACCCCCUCCCAACCCACUACCUUGGAUUUUCUGACUUGACCUGAUGGUUCAAAAUAUUCUAAGACUUUCCCUGGGACACCUGUCUAUUGCCCCUGGGUAUUUGGCCAGGGGGUCUCCAUGGAGCCAAAAAGUUAAUAACUGGUCUAGAAAAUACACAAACAAAUGUCACGGUCCAUGAAUUUCUAAAACGAACAGUGAAGGCUCUGUGACAUUAUGCAAAGGCAAAGGGGUGUGAAGGAGAGUGUUCUGGUACGGAGACCGACGGAUCUAUGUUCAAAUCUCAGUUCUUCCCCUUCCUACCCACAUGUCUAACUUUGGAUAAAGGACUGUGUGUCCUGGGCCUUGGCUUCCUCAUCUGUGAAAUGUGAAUAAUGAUGGAAAUCAUUGUGAGAAUGUGUUUGGCCCUCUGUAGGUGCUGAAUAAAGUAGUUCCCCUCUCCCACUACUGCUUUGUUCUUACAGAACUGAAAGAUCCAUAACUUAAAGAAUCAAAGGGAGGCCAAACAAUAACUAAAGGGUUAGAAAAUAAGAUCCAAGAAUAAUGGAUAAAGGAAUGGUUAAUGUUUAGUCUAGACAGGAUGGUAAAUAACUGGCUGCCCUUUGUAAGUACCUCCUAUGUGCCACACUUAGCUUGGCAUGUAAUGUCCAAUCCUUUGAAGAAGGUAUGAUUACGAUACCCAUCUUAUAAGCAGGGAAACAGAUUUUAUAAUUUGCCCAAAAUCAUACAGCUAAAUGGUGAAGUGGAGAUUCAAACUCAGGUCUGAUUCUUUGCUUUGGCUUAACAACAGUCUCCCUUUCCAGUCCCUGGAAGCAAAACCUGGGGAGAUGGACCUAAAGAGGAGCAGGAGGGAGAGGAGAAGGUUACCGUCAGUCACUGGCAUCGGGGACAGGCAGGCCAGAGAAGACAACUGCAGCACCUCUUUCCCUGGCUGGGACUUGUCAGGAAGGGACUCUCCAGGCCCCAGCUGCCUUAUGCAUGGGCUUGCCCGAAGGCAGGAAGGACUCGAAUUUCCCUAGAGGAAAAUGGGCCUGUGAGACCAGGCUGGGGACUGAGCUCCUAUGGGCCACAGGGGCAGGUCCUGAGAGCACCCUGCCCCUCCUCCUUGAAGGGGGCUCAAUGGAUGGGGCACAGUGGAGUCUAUCCCUCUACUUUUUUCUAUACUUUCUAUUGUUAUUUCAGAGAUUCCUUUUGCCUAAUUCUGACCAUUCCCAAUAAAUAAUUUAUAUAAAACUAAAUAAAAAUGAAUUUUUUUUAGCCUUAAUCUCUAAGCCUCUUAGUUUUCUUACCUACAAAAGCAAGUGUGCUAAUUCCUAUGGUCCUUGGACCUUUCAGCCUCUUCAAGCCACUUCAGUUCUAGUUUUCAUGCAACCUCAGCUCUGGUCUAGAGCAGGCAGAGGUUACUACCUUCCACACUGCUUCUACCUUGAGUAGAACCCAAGGUUUUUGCUUUCUUGCCAUAAAUGAUUAUUCACAUUGCUGAGAAGUAAUGUGUGGUGGUUGGAAGCUGAAUAUACCCCAGAAAAAAACAUGUCCUUAAAUUUAAUCCAUUCCUGUAGGUGUA